rnacentral:rRNA from 1 species
AGCGAACGCUGGCGGCAUGCUUAACACAUGCAAGUCGCACGGUCGGGGUAACCCGGCAGUGGCGGACGGGUGAGUAACGCGUAGGUAUCUAUCCAUGGGUGGGGGAUAACGGUUGGAAACGACUGCUAAUACCGCAUGACACCUGAGGGUCAAAGGCGCAAGUCGCCUGUGGAGGAGCCUGCGUUCGAUUAGCUAGUUGUGGGGUAAAGGCCUACCAAGGCGACGAUCGAUAGCUGGUCUGAGAGGAUGAUCAGCCACACUGGGACUGAGACACGGCCCCAGACUCCUACGGGAGGCAGCAGUGGGGGAAUAAUUGGACAAUGGGCGCAAGCCUGAUCCAGCAAUGCCGCGUGUGUGAAGAAGGUCUUCGGAUUGUAAAGCACUUUCGACGGGGACGAUGAUGACGGUACCCGUAGAAGAAGCCCCGGCUAACUUACGUGCCAGCAGCCGC